AACCCGGUGAUCUAGCCAUGGGCAGGUUGAAGGUUGGGUAACACUAACUGGAGGACCGAACCGACUAAUGUUGAAAAAUUAGCGGAUGACUUGUGGCUGGGGGGGAAAGGCCAAUCAAACCGGGAGAUAGCUGGUUCUCCCCGAAAGCUAUUUAGGUAGCGCCUCGUGAACUCAUCUCCGGGGGUAGAGCACUGUUUCGGCAAGGGGGUCAUCCCGACUUACCAACCCGAUGCAAACUGCGAAUACCGGAGAAUGUUAUCACGGGAGACACACGGCGGGUGCUAACGUCCGUCGUGAAGAGGGAAACAACCCAGACCGCCAGCUAAGGUCCCAAAGUCAUGGUUAAGUGGGAAACGAUGUGGGAAGGCCCAGACAGCCAGGAUGUUGGCUUAGAAGCAGCCAUCAUUUAAAGAAAGCGUAAUAGCUCACUGGUCGAGUCGGCCUGCGCGGAAGAUGUAACGGGGCUAAACCAUGCACCGAAGCUGCGGCAGCGACGCUUAUGCGUUGUUGGGUAGGGGAGCGUUCUGUAAGCCUGUGAAGGUGUGCUGUGAGGCAUGCUGGAGGUAUCAGAAGUGCGAAUGCUGACAUAAGUAACGAUAAAGCGGGUGAAAAGCCCGCUCGCCGGAAGACCAAGGGUUCCUGUCCAACGUUAAUCGGGGCAGGGUGAGUCGACCCCUAAGGCGAGGCCGAAAGGCGUAGUCGAUGGGAAACAGGUUAAUAUUCCUGUACUUGGUGUUACUGCGAAGGGGGGACGGAGAAGGCUAUGUUGGCCGGGCGACGGUUGUCCCGGUUUAAGCGUGUAGGCUGGUUUUCCAGGCAAAUCCGGAAAAUCAAGGCUGAGGCGUGAUGACGAGGCACUACGGUGCUGAAGCAACAAAUGCCCUGCUUCCAGGAAAAGCCUCUAAGCAUCAGGUAACAUCAAAUCGUACCCCAAACCGACACAGGUGGUCAGGUAGAGAAUACCAAGGCGCUUGAGAGAACUCGGGUGAAGGAACUAGGCAAAAUGGUGCCGUAACUUCGGGAGAAGGCACGCUGAUAUGUAGGUGAAGUCCCUCGCGGAUGGAGCUGAAAUCAGUCGAAGAUACCAGCUGGCUGCAACUGUUUAUUAAAAACACAGCACUGUGCAAACACGAAAGUGGACGUAUACGGUGUGACGCCUGCCCGGUGCCGGAAGGUUAAUUGAUGGGGUCAGCGCAAGCGAAGCUCUUGAUCGAAGCCCCGGUAAACGGCGGCCGUAACUAUAACGGUCCUAAGGUAGCGAAAUUCCUUGUCGGGUAAGUUCCGACCUGCACGAAUGGCGUAAUGAUGGCCAGGCUGUCUCCACCCGAGACUCAGUGAAAUUGAACUCGCUGUGAAGAUGCAGUGUACCCGCGGCAAGACGGAAAGACCCCGUGAACCUUUACUAUAGCUUGACACUGAACAUUGAGCCUUGAUGUGUAGGAUAGGUGGGAGGCUUAGAAGUGUGGACGCCAGUCUGCAUGGAGCCGACCUUGAAAUACCACCCUUUAAUGUUUGAUGUUCUAACGUUGACCCGUAAUCCGGGUUGCGGACAGUGUCUGGUGGGUAGUUUGACUGGGGCGGUCUCCUCCUAAAGAGUAACGGAGGAGCACGAAGGUUGGCUAAUCCUGGUCGGACAUCAGGAGGUUAGUGCAAUGGCAUAAGCCAGCUUGACUGCGAGCGUGACGGCGCGAGCAGGUGCGAAAGCAGGUCAUAGUGAUCCGGUGGUUCUGAAUGGAAGGGCCAUCGCUCAACGGAUAAAAGGUACUCCGGGGAUAACAGGCUGAUACCGCCCAAGAGUUCAUAUCGACGGCGGUGUUUGGCACCUCGAUGUCGGCUCAUCACAUCCUGGGGCUGAAGUAGGUCCCAAGGGUAUGGCUGUUCGCCAUUUAAAGUGGUACGCGAGCUGGGUUUAGAACGUCGUGAGACAGUUCGGUCCCUAUCUGCCGUGGGCGCUGGAGAACUGAGGGGGGCUGCUCCUAGUACGAGAGGACCGGAGUGGACGCAUCACUGGUGUUCGGGUUGUCAUGCCAAUGGCACUGCCCGGUAGCUAAAUGCGGAAGAGAUAAGUGCUGAAAGCAUCUAAGCACGAAACUUGCCCCGAGAUGAGUUCUCCCUGACCCUUUAAGGGUCCUGAAGGAACGUUGAAGACGACGACGUUGAUAGGCCGGGUGUGUAAGCGCAGCGAUGCGUUGAGCUAACCGGUACUAAUGAACCGUGAGGCUUAACCUU
rnacentral:rRNA from 1 species